rnacentral:tRNA from 1 species
GGCCCGUUAGCUAAGUUGGUUAGAGCGUCGUGCUAAUAACGCGAAGGUCGUGGGUUCGAUCCCCCCACGGGCCA